rnacentral:rRNA from 1 species
CCUGGCUCAGGACGAACGCUGGCGGCGUGCCUAAUACAUGCAAGUCGUACGCUUCUUUUUCCACCGGAGCUUGCUCCACCGGAAAAAGAAGAGUGGCGAACGGGUGAGUAACACGUGGGUAACCUGCCCAUCAGAAGGGGAUAACACUUGGAAACAGGUGCUAAUACCGUAUAACAAUCGAAACCGCAUGGUUUUGAUUUGAAAGGCGCUUUCGGGUGUCGCUGAUGGAUGGACCCGCGGUGCAUUAGCUAGUUGGUGAGGUAACGGCUCACCAAGGCCACGAUGCAUAGCCGACCUGAGAGGGUGAUCGGCCACAUUGGGACUGAGACACGGCCCAAACUCCUACGGGAGGCAGCAGUAGGGAAUCUUCGGCAAUGGACGAAAGUCUGACCGAGCAACGCCGCGUGAGUGAAGAAGGUUUUCGGAUCGUAAAACUCUGUUGUUAGAGAAGAACAAGGAUGAGAGUAACUGUUCAUCCCUUGACGGUAUCUAACCAGAAAGCC